AUUGAACACUGGCGGCAGGCUUAACACAUGCAAGUCGAGCGGGGACUUCGGUCCAAGCGGCGAACGGGUGAGGAAUGCUUGGGAAUCUGCCUGGUAGUGGGGGAUAACGUUUCGAAAGGAACGCUAAUACCGCAUACGUCCUACGGGAGAAAGGGGGGGAUCUUCGGACCUCUCGCUAUCAGCUGAGCCCAAGUCGGAUUAGCUAGUUGGUGAGGUAAAGGCUCACCAAGGCGACGAUCCGUAGCUGGUCUGAGAAGAUGAUCAGCCACACUGGAACUGAGACACGGUCCAGACUCCUACGGGAGGCAGCAGUGGGGAAUAUUGGACAAUGGGCGAAAGCCUGAUCCAGCCAUGCCGCGUGUGUGAAGAAGGCCUUCGGGUUGUAAAGCACUUUAAGCGAGGAGGAAUGGCUCUGGGUUAAUACCCUUGAGCAGUGACGUUACUCGCAGAAUAAGCACCGGCUAACUCUGUGCCAGCCGCCGCCGUAACAC
rnacentral:rRNA from 1 species